UACGUAGGCAGCGAGCGUUGUUCGGAAUUACUGGGCGUAAAGCGUGCGUAGGCGGUGCCUCAAGUUUGGUGUGAAAUCUCCCGCUCAACCGGGAGGGUGCGCCGAAAACUGAGGUGCUCGAGUGUGGGAGAGGUAAGCGGAAUUCCUGGUGUAGCGGUGAAAUGCGUAGAUAUCAGGAGGAACACCGGCGGUGUAGACGGCUUACUGGACCAUAACUGACGCUGAGGCACGAAAAGUGUGGGGGAGCAAACAGG
rnacentral:rRNA from 1 species